ensembl:scaRNA Small Cajal body-specific RNA 2
UGUUACCGGAGGGAGAGCGGGCUGGAAGUGAGGUGGCAGUGAGUUGCUGUGUGGUGUUGUGUGUGUGGGGGUGGGGGGUGCGCGUGUAGGCCGAGUGUGUGAGUGGAUGCGUGAAUGUUUGAGUGCGUGCGCCCGCCCCUGCAGCCCUCCCCCGGCCUACACGUUGAUCUUAUUUGAUCGGGUUGGGACUCCAGCCCCGCCGGGCCGACCCGAAAUGAAAAGCUUCCCUCCUGCGAAGCCCUUCCUCGGGGCGCUGUGCAGCGAGGCCCCUGUGGCUCAGAAGUGAUGAAUUGAUCAGAUAGACGAGGCCGGGCUUGUCCCGCGCCAUUGAUUAUCGAGGCGAUUCUGAUCUGA